rnacentral:lncRNA from 1 species
AUGUUAACUCCAACAAGCACAACUCAAACAACCACAACCACAGCUCCAACAACCACAGCUCCAACAACCAAAACAACAACUGCUUUUCCAAUAACCACAACUUUUGCUCCAACAACCACAACCGCAGCUCCAACAACCACAACUCCAGCUCCGACAACCCCAGCUCUAGCAAUCUUAACUCCAACAAACACAACUCAAGCUCCAACAACCGCAACCACAGAUCCAACAACCACAUCCCCAGCUCCAACAACCACAACUGCAGCUCCAACAACCACAACCACAGCUCCAACGACAACAACUCAAGCUACAACAACCCCAACCGCAGCUCCAACAACCACAUCUCUCUCUCCAACAACCACAAUCAUAGCUCCAACCACCACAACCACAGCCGAAACAACCACGACCGCAGCUCCAACAACCACAAUUGCAGCUCCAACAACCACAACUUCAGCUCCAACAACCACAACUUUGGCUCCAACAACCACAACCGCACCUUCAACAACCAUAACUCUAGUCCCAACAACCACAAUUGCAGCUCCAACAACCACAAUCAUAGCUCCAACAACCACAACUGUAGCCCCAACAACCACAACUGCAGCCCCAACAACCACAGCCACAACUCAAACAACCACAACCGCAGCUCCAACAACCACAACUCCAGCUCCAACAACCACAAUUGUAGCUCCAACCACCACAACAGCUUCAACAACCACAAGUGAAGCUCCAACAACCACAACCGAAGCUCCAACAACCACAACCGAAGCUCCCACAACCACAACUCCAGUCCCAACAACCAUAACCGCAGCUUCAACAACCACAACCGCAGAUCCAACAACUACAACUCCAGCUCUGACAACCCCAACCCCAGCUCCAGCAAUCUUAAAUCCAACAAGCACAACUCUAACAACCACAAGUCCAGCUCCAACAACCACAACUCCAACAACUGCAGCUCCAGCAAUCACAACUGAAGCUCCAGCAACCACAACUGAAGCUCCAACAACCACAACCACAGCUCCACCAACCGCAGCUCCAACAACUACAAGUCAAGCUCCAACAACCACAACUCCUGCUCCAACAACCACAACCGCAGCUCCAACAACCACAACCACAGCUCCAACAACCACAACAACAGCUUCAACAACCACAGCUGCAGCUCCAACAACCACAACCGCAGCUCCAACAACCACAGCUUCAGCUCCAACAACCACAAUCAUAGCUCCAACAACCACACCCCUAACAACUACAGCCACAGCUCAAAGAACCACAACCGCAGCUCCAACAACCCCAACUACAGCUCCAACAACCACAUUUGCAGCUCCAACAAUCACAACCACUUCUCCAACAACCACAACAACAGCUUCAACAAGCACAACUUCAGCUCCAAUAACCACAGCUGCACCUCCAACAACCACAACUGCAGCUCCAACAACUCCAACUCCGACAACCCCAGCUCUUGCAAUGUUAACUCCAACAAGCACAACUCAAACAACCACAACCACAGCUCCAACAACCAAAACCACAACUGCUGUUCCGAUAACCACAACUUUUUCUCCAACAACCACAACCGCAGCUCCAACAACCACAACUCCAGCUCCGACAACCCCAGCUCUAGCAAUCUUAACUCCAACAAACACAACUCAAGCUCCAACAACCGCAACCACAGAUCCAACAACCACAUCCCCAGCUCCAACAACCACAACUGCAGCUCCAACAACCACAACCACAGCUCCAACGACUACAACUCAAGCUACAACAACCCCAACCGCAGCUCCAACAACCACAUCUCUCUCUCCAACAACCACAAUCAUAGCUCCAACCACCACAACCACAGCCGAAACAACCACGACUGCAGCUCCAACAACCACAAUUGCAGCUCCAACAACCACAACUUCAGCUCCAACAACCACAACUUCGGCUCCAACAACCACAACCGCACCUUCAACAACCAUAACUCUAGUCCCAACAACCACAAUUGCAGCUCCAACAACCACAAUCAUAGCUCCAACAACCACAACUGUAGCCCCAACAACCACAACUGCAGCCCCAACAACCACAGCCACAACUCAAACAACCACAACCGCAGCUCCAACAACCACAACUCCAGCUCCAACAACCACAAUUGUAGCUCCAACCACCACAACAGCUUCAACAACCACAAGUGAAGCUCCAACAACCACAACCGAAGCUCCAACAACCACAACCGAAGCUCCCACAACCACAACUCCAGUCCCAACAACCAUAACCGCAGCUUCAACAACCACAACCGCAGCUCCCACAACCACAACCGCAGAUCCAACAACUACAACUCCAGCUCUGACAACCCCAACCCCAGCUCCAGCAAUCUUAAAUCCAACAAGCACAACUCUAACAACCACAAGUCCAGCUCCAACAACCACAACUCCAACAACUGCAGCUCCAGCAAUCACAACUGAAGCUCCAGCAACCACAACUGAAGCUCCAACAACCACAACCACAGCUCCACCAACCGCAGCUCCAACAACUACAAGUCAAGCUCCAACAACCACAACUCCUGCUCCAACAACCACAACUCCAGUUCCAACAACCACAACUCCAGGUUCAACAACCACAACAACAGCUCCAAGAACCAGAACCAUAGCUCCAACAACCACAACCGCAGCUCCAACAACCACAACUGCAGCUCCAACAACCACAAACAUAGCUCCAACAACCACAACCACAGCCACAACAACUACAGCCACAGCUCAGAGAACCCCAACUACAGCUCCAACAACCACAUUUGCAGCUCCAACAAUCACAACUACUUCUCCAACAACCACAACAACAGCUUCAACAACCACAGCUUCAGCUCCAACAACCACAUACGAAGCUCCCACAACCGUAGCUCCAACAACCACAACCGCAGAUCCAAAAACUACAACUCCAGCUUCGACAACCCCAACCCCAGCUCCAGCAAUCUUAACUCCAACAAGCACAAUUCUAACAACCACAACUGCAGUUUCAACAACCACAACUCCAGCUCCAACAACCACAAUCACAGCUCCAACAACUACAACUGACGCUCCAACAACCACAACAUCAGGUCCAACAACCACAACCGCAGCUCCAGCAACCACAAUCAUAGCUCCAACAACCACAACUGCAGCCCCAACAACCACAGCCACAGCUAAACCAACCACAACCGCAGCUCCAACAACCACAACCAAAGCUCCAACAACCACAACCGCAGCUCCAGCAACCACAACCACAGCUUCAACAACCACAACAACAGCUUCAACAACCACAGAUUCAGCUCCAACAACCACAACCGAAUCUCCCACAACCACAACUCCAGUUCCAUCAACCUCAACCGCAGCUCCAUCAACCACAACCGCAGAUCCAACAACUACAAUUCCAGCUCCGACAACCCCAACCCCAGUUCCAGCAAUCUUAACUCCAACAAGCACAACUCUAAGAACCACAACCGCAGCUCCAACAACCACAUCUCCUGCUCCAACCACCACAAUCACAGCUCCAACAACUAUAACUCCAGCUCCAACAACCACACCCACAGUUCCAACAACCACAGCUCCAACAACCACAAUCACACCUCCAACAACCACAACCGCAGCUCCAACAACCACAACCGCAGCUCCAACAACCACAACCGCAGCUCAAACAACCACAACUCCAGCUCCAACAACCACAAUUGAAGCUCCAGCCACCACAACCGCAGCUUCAACAACCACACCCGCAGCUCCAACAACCAUAACUCUAGCUCCCACAACGCCAGGUCCGACAUCCCCAACCCCAGGUCCAACAACCACAACCACAGUUCCAAACACCACAACUCUUGGUCCAACAGGCAUAACUCCCGCUCCAACUACAACACCAGGCUUAACAACUUUGGCACAUAUACAAAUGAAGAUAUCUUCUGUUGGAGAGAUCAGCAAUGGAACAAUCACUCAGCUUAUUCAGCAGUUUUUUAGAGAACAGCUCCUGAAUGGAACAGCUCACACCGUCACUGUGACCAAAAUUCAGAGGGUUAGUGUGAGCCCAUAG